CCAGGUUUUUGGAGUUUUCAGAACCCAUUCCCUUACCCCCUUGCGCUGCUGCUGCCUUCGAGCCAGCCUCUACGCGCGCCAUUACUUCAGCCCACGCUUCCACCUUCCAUAUUUCACGUUCACACGCCCAUGAACGCACUCUUCACGUCUCCACGUACCUGCAAAAUGGAGAAUAGCAAGGAACCGUUUGUAUAGGCUAUAAAGCCUUCGAUUUUUUUUAAUUGUAAGGGGGGUGGUUUUUCUUUUCUUUUUCAUUUUUCUCAAAGAGAUAGAACACAAGUUGUAUACAAAAUACAUUAAAAAAAUCAAUAAAAAGCAACCAAGAGAUAUUCAAAGGUGGUGAUUGCUGUUUGAUUUCGUUUUUCUUUUUUUCUAUUUUCAUCAAAUAUACUAAGAUAUAAGAGAAAGGAGGAGACUUACCGGAGUUGCAUCACGCUCACGACAGCUGAUGGCUCGACUCCGUUUUCCAUAGUCGGAUUUUGAGGCGGUUAAAGCUUGGCCAUUCGUCUGGGGGGUGAGUAGUGGGAGUAAUAAAGUUUUUUUUUAAGAAACAGAAGUUAAAAGUGUUUUCUUUAGCAAAAGAUUGGCUUUAAAACAAACUUUUUCUUUUAAUAAUAAAAUAAAUGCUUGAGAGUGAGAAGCAGUAACAUUUGGGGGGUGGGGGAAGGCGUGUUGACCCAUUUGCCAGGCU
rnacentral:lncRNA from 1 species